CCUACGGGAGGCAGCAGUGAGGAAUAUUGGUCAAUGGGCGGAAGCCUGAACCAGCCAAGUAGCGUGCAGGAUGACGGCCCUACGGGUUGUAAACUGCUUUUAUACGGGAAUAACACGUCUUACGUGUAGGGCUUUGCAUGUACCGUAUGAAUAAGGACCGGCUAAUUCCGUGCCAGCAGCCGCGGUAAUACGGAAGAUCCGGGCGUUAUCCGGAUUUAUUGGGUUUAAAGGGAGCGUAGGUGGAAUGUUAAGUGUGUGGUGAAAGGUUCGGGCUCAACCCGGGCCUUGCAGUGCAAACUGGCAGGCUUGAGUACACUGAAGGCAGGCGGAAUUCGUGGUGUAGCGGUGAAAUGCUUAGAUAUGACGAAGAACCCCGAUUGCGAAGGCAGCUUGCUGCAGCGUAACUGACGCUGAUGCUCGAAAGCGCGGGUAUCGAACAGGAUUAGAUACCCGAGUAGUC
rnacentral:rRNA from 1 species